AUGCCAUGGUAUGGGCACUUCCUCUAAAGAUCUUUGUACCAUUCCCAUGCAUCAUUGAAAGAUUCAUUGUGUUUUUAUCUGAAGGUAUUGAAUUUAGAUCUAAGUUU